rnacentral:rRNA from 1 species
AUUGAACGCUGGCGGCAUGCCUUACACAUGCAAGUCGAACGGCAGCACGGGUGCUUGCACCUGGUGGCGAGUGGCGCACGGGUGAGUAAUACAUCGGAACGUACCUUAUCGUGGGGGAUAACGCAGCGAAAGCUGUGCUAAUACCGCAUUCGCCCUGAGGGUGAAAGCGGGGGAUCGAAAAGCCUGGCGCGCCUAGAGCGCCCGAUGCCUGAAUAGCUUGUUGGUGGUGUAAACGCCCACCAAGGCGACGAAAAGUAGCUGGUCUGAGAGGACGAUCAGCCACACUGGGACUGAGACACGGCCCAGACUCCUACGGGAGGCAGCAGUGGGGAAUUCUGGACAAUGAGGGCAACCCUGAUCCAGCAAUGCCGCGUGAGUGAAGAAGGCCUUCGGGUUGUAAAGCUCUUUUGUCAGGGAAGAAACACCGGCUCUAACACAGUCCGGGAAUGACGGUACCUGAAGAAUAAGCACCGGCUAACUACGUGCCAGCAGCCGCCGUAA